AGUAGUAGUGGUGAGAUUGCAUGAUAACACCAUUAAAGNUUUAUGGUAACGAUGGGGAUGCGUUCCAUUAGGUAGUAGGCGGGGUAACGGCCCACCUAGCCUGCGAUGGAUAGGGGUUCUGAGAGGAAGGUCCCCCACAUUGGAACUGAGACACGGUCCAAACUCCUACGGGAGGCAGCAGUGAGGAAUAUUGGUCAAUGGGCGAGAGCCUGAACCAGCCAAGUAGCGUGAAGGAUGAAGGUCCUACGGAUUGUAAACUUCUUUUAUACGGGAAUAAAGUUUCCUACGUGUAGGAUUUUGUAUGUACCGUAUGAAUAAGCAUCGGCUAACUCCGUG
rnacentral:rRNA from 1 species